CGAACGAGAUCCAGUGGGAGCUUGCCUACCCGGAAGAUCGUAGUGGACGGAACGGGUGAGUAACACGUGAGAAACCUGCCCUGGAGUGGGGAAUAACUCGGGGAAACUCGAGCUAAUACCGCAUACCCUCGGAUGGUCGCAUGGCCGACCGAGGAAAGAUUUAUCGCUCUAGGAGGGUCUCGCGGCCUAUCAGCUAGUUGGUGGGGUAACGGCCUACCAAGGCAACGACGGGUAGCUGGUUUGAGAGAACGAUCAGCCACACUGGGACUGAGACACGGCCCAGACUCCUACGGGAGGCAGCAGUGGGGAAUCUUGCGCAAUGGGCGAAAGCCUGACGCAGCAACGCCGCGUGCGGGAUGACGGCCUUCGUGGUUGUAAACCGCUUUCAGCAGGGACGAAAAUGACGGUACCUGCAGAAGAAGCCCCGGCUAACUACGUG
rnacentral:rRNA from 1 species